GUGCUCGCUUCAGUAGCACAUAUACUGAAAUUGGAACAAUACAGAGAAGAUUAGCACAGCCGCUGUGCAAGGAUGACAUACAAAUUCGUGAAGUGUUCCACAUUAAA
rnacentral:snRNA from 1 species